rnacentral:rRNA from 1 species
UGGCGAACGGGUGAGUAACACGUGAGCAACCUGCCCUUCAGAGGGGGACAGCAGUUGGAAACGACUGCUAAUACCGCAUAAGACCACGGUGUGGCAUCACACAGAGGUCAAAGGAGAAAUCCGCUGAAGGAUGGGCUCGCGUCCAAUUAGCUAGAUGGUGAGGUAACGGCCCACCAUGGCGACGAUUGGUAGCCGGACUGAGAGGUUGAUCGGCCACAUUGGGACUGAGACACGGCCCAGACUCCUACGGGAGGCAGCAGUGGGGAAUAUUGCACAAUGGAGGAAACUCUGAUGCAGCGACGCCGCGUGAGGGAAGAAGGUCUUCGGAUUGUAAACCUCUGUUGUCAGGGACGAUAAUGACGGUACCUGACGAGGAAGCCACGGCUAACUACGUGCCAGCAGCCGCGGUAAAACGUAGGUGGCAAGCGUUGUCCGGAAUUACUGGGUGUAAAGGGAGCGCAGGCGGGAGAGCAAGUUGGAAGUGAAAUCUGUGGGCUCAACUCACAAAUUGCUUUCAAAACUGUUUUUCUUGAGUGGUGUAGAGGUAGGCGGAAUUCCCGGUGUAGCGGUGGAAU